CCUACGGGAGGCAGCAGUGGGGAAUAUUGCACAAUGGGGGAAACCCUGAUGCAGCAACGCCGCGUGAGUGAUGACGGCCUUCGGGUUGUAAAGCUCUGUCUUCAGGGACGAUAAUGACGGGACCUGAGGAGGAAGCCACGGCUAAGUAAUUGCCAGCAGCCGCGGGAAUACGUAGGUGGCGAGCGUUGUCCGGAUUUACUGGGCGGAAAGGGAGCGUAGGCGGACUUUUAAGAGAGAUGUGAAAGACUCGGGCUCAACUUGGGUGCUGCAUUUCAAACUGGAAGUCUAGAGUGCAGGAGAGGAGAGUGGAAUUCCUGGUGUAGCGGUGAAAUGCGUAGAGAUUAGGAAGAACACCAGUGGCGAAGGCGAUUCUCUGGACUGUAACUGACGCUGAGGCUCGAAAGCGUGGGGAGCGAACAGGAUUAGAUACCCCAGUAGUC
rnacentral:rRNA from 1 species